rnacentral:rRNA from 1 species
GUGCCUAAUACAUGCAAGUAGAACGCUGAAGAGAGGAGCUUGCUCUUCUUGGAUGAGUUGCGAACGGGUGAGUAACGCGUAGGUAACCUGCCUGGUAGCGGGGGAUAACUAUUGGAAACGAUAGCUAAUACCGCAUAAAAUUGAUUAUUGCAUGAUAAUUAAUUGAAAGAUGCAACUGCAUCACUACCAGAUGGACCUGCGUUGUAUUAGCUAGUUGGUGAGGUAACGGCUCACCAAGGCGACGAUACAUAGCCGACCUGAGAGGGUGAUCGGCCACACUGGGACUGAGACACGGCCCAGACUCCUACGGGAGGCAGCAGUAGGGAAUCUUCGGCAAUGGGGGGAACCCUGACCGAGCAACGCC